UACGUAGGGUGCAAGCGUUAAUCGGAAUUACUGGGCGUAAAGCGUGCGCAGGCGGUCGUUCAAGUCGCGUGUGAAAGCCCCCGGCUCAACUGGGGAGGGUCAUUCGAUACUGUCCGACUCGAAGGCAGGAGAGGGAAGCGGAAUUCCCGGUGUAGUGGUGAAAUGCGUAGAUAUCGGGAGGAACACCAGUGGCGAAGGCGGCUUUCUGGCCUGUUCUUGACGCUGAGGCGCGAAAGCUAGGGGGAGCGAACGGG
rnacentral:rRNA from 1 species